UUCCAAGCCUUGAUCUUCGACAUGCUAAACCAAUCAAAUACAUUAAAAACUCAGAUCCCCUGCAAGCAUACUACCAGAGAUUUUUGUCUCUGCCCUUGUCUACAGUGCUUUAUGUGAGGAACCUAAAUCAGCAAUGCUCUACCACUGUCAGUCCCCAGCUGGGCUCUACCUGAAUAAGCAUAUGUUGAGGUGGAGGAGGGAGCCAGGAGUUCCAUGCUCAGCAGAGUACCUACAUCUUCUGUCUCUGAACAAAGCAGAAAAGGAAAGCAGAGAACAGUGUGUGAGAUCUUCCACCCCAUCUCAGGAGCAGCCCCAGAAAGCGCCCCAUUCUUGGGCCUCCUCCUGCACUCACUGGGAAGUAAACAGCGAUGUGAGGCUCCCUGUUCUGGGAAAAAGCUAAUCAAAUGAUCCAACUGCUCCUCAUCUGCAACCCCGAGAGAGGUACCAGGAAAUAGUUUUGGCUGAGAGGAGGGUAGCCACGAAUAAGGGAGGCUGUCACGGAAAACUGCUUUCCCACCUCCCAGCUCCAUCCAGGCCUUAGCCUCUGCACACUGCCCCAGAGCAGGUAUCAGCCAG
rnacentral:lncRNA from 1 species